rnacentral:rRNA from 1 species
UAGGGAAUCUUCCGCAAUGGGCGAAAGCCUGACGGAGCAACGCCGCGUGAGUGAUGAAGGUCUUCGGAUCGUAAAACUCUGUUAUUAGGGAAGAACAAAUGUGUAAGUAACUAUGCACGUCUUGACGGUACCUAAUCAGAAAGCCACGGCUAACUACGUGCCAGCAGCCGCGGUAAUACGUAGGUGGCAAGCGUUAUCCGGAAUUAUUGGGCGUAAAGCGCGCGUAGGCGGUUUUUUAAGUCUGAUGUGAAAGCCCACGGCUCAACCGUGGAGGGUCAUUGGAAACUGGAAAACUUGAGUGCAGAAGAGGGAAGUGGAAUUCCAUGUGUAGCGGUGAAAUGCGCAGAGAUAUGGAGGAACACCAGUGGCGAAGGCGACUUUCUGGUCUGUAACUGACGCUGAUGUGCGAAAGCGUGGGGAUCAAACAGG